UACGAAGGGGGCUAGCGUUGCUCGGAAUCACUGGGCGUAAAGGGUGCGUAGGCGGGUCUUUAAGUCAGGGGUGAAAUCCUGGAGCUCAACUCCAGAACUGCCUUUGAUACUGAGGAUCUUGAGUUCGGGAGAGGUGAGUGGAACUGCGAGUGUAGGAGGUGAAAAUUCGUAGAUAUUCGGAAGAACACCAGUGGCGAAGGCGAACACACUGGGCCCAUUCUGACG
rnacentral:rRNA from 1 species